GACGAACCGUGCGAACGUUGUUCGGAAUCACUGGGCUUAAAGGGCGCGUAGGCGGCUUGCCAAGUCUGGGGUGAAAUCCCCCGGCUCAACCGGGGAAUUGCCUGGGAUACUGGCAGGCUCGAGGGAGGUAGGGGCGAUCGGAACUUCCGGUGGAGCGGUGAAAUGCGUUGAUAUCGGAAGGAACGCCGGUGGCGAAAGCGGAUCGCUGGACCUCUUCUGACGCUGAGGCGCGAAAGCCAGGGGAGCAAACGGG
rnacentral:rRNA from 1 species